AACGAACGCUGGCGGCAUGCCUAACACAUGCAAGUCGAACGAGACCUUCGGGUCUAGUGGCGCACGGGUGCGUAACGCGUGGGAACCUGCCCUUAGGUUCGGAAUAACUCCCCGAAAGGGGUGCUAAUACCGGAUAAUGUCUUCGGACCAAAGAUUUAUCGCCUUUGGAUGGGCCCGCGUUGGAUUAGCUAGUUGGUAGGGUAAAAGCCUACCAAGGCGACGAUCCAUAGCUGGUCUGAGAGGAUGAUCAGCCACACUGGGACUGAGACACGGCCCAGACUCCUACGGGAGGCAGCAGUGGGGAAUAUUGGACAAUGGGCGAAAGCCUGAUCCUGCAAUGCCGCGUGAGUGAUGAAGGCCUUAGGGUUGUAAAGCUCUUUUACCCGGGAUGAUAAUGACAGUACCGGGAGAAUAAGCGCCGGCUAACUCCGUG
rnacentral:rRNA from 1 species